AUUCGAUAAUGAGAGUGGAAACAGCACACAGUGUGGCAGCGAGGAGCACAUGGUGUGUCCAUGGAAGGACUAUGAGUUGUGGAGGAAAAACAGUAUUUGAUAUGAGGCUCAGAGGGCGAGAACUGCAGACCCCAGAGGCCUGCGAUGCGAGGUGCACAGGUGAGUGGGGGAGGGGAAGGGGACGGUGGUGGUGGUGGGAAUGGGAGGUGUUGGGGGAGCUGCAGGUUGGGUUCCAUGCUGGGUCCAGGCUCCCAUCAGCAUCUGCGCAUCAAACCCAACUGCAUUUUGGGGGACAGUCAUUUUCUAACUUGAUUUGUGUAGGUCUUCAAAGUCUUGAUCGCUGUCUUUCUCGAACCAUAUCAAUAGGAAGCCUAGUUACCUUUCCCACAUUUCAGGAAGGGAUCAGGGAGUCAAGAUCUUGUCUGCCAUUCGAG
rnacentral:lncRNA from 1 species